GAUGAACGCUGGCGGCGUGCCUCAAACAUGCAAGUCGAGCGGGGCUAUGUAAUAUCGCAAGGUAGAACAUAGCCUAGCGGCGAACGGGUGAGUAACACGUGGGUAACCUGCCUGGAAGACAGGGAUAACGAUUCGAAAGGGUCGCUAAUACCUGAUAAUAUCCUUUCAUCGCAUGGUGAUAGGAAGAAAGGGGAAACCCGCUUUCAGAUGGGCCCGCGUCCCAUCAGCUAGUUGGUAAGGUAAAGGCUUACCAAGGCGACGACGGGUAGCCGGUCUGAGAGGAUGUACGGCCACACUGGGACUGAGAUACGGCCCAGACUCCUACGGGAGGCAGCAGUUGGGAAUCUUAGGCAAUGGACGAAAGUCUGACCUAGCGACGCCGCGUGAGAGAAGAAGGCCUUCGGGUUGUAAACUCUGUCAUGGGGGAAGAAGUAAGUGACGGUACCCAAGAGGAAGCCCCUGCUAACUACGUGCCACGCCGCCGCCGGUAACACCCUCGUCUCUA
rnacentral:rRNA from 1 species